rnacentral:rRNA from 1 species
CACGUAGGGCGCAAGCGUUGUCCGGAAUUAUUGGGCGUAAAGAGCUCGUAGGCGGUCUGUUGCGUCCGCUGUGAAAACUCGGGGCUUAACCCCGAGCCUGCAGUGGAUACGGGCAGACUAGAGGUAGGUAGGGGAGAAUGGAAUUCCCGGUGUAGCGGUGAAAUGCGCAGAUAUCGGGAGGAACACCGGUGGCGAAAGCGGCUCACUGGAUCUCAUCUGACGCUGAGGCACGAAAGCUAGGGUAGCAAACGGG